rnacentral:rRNA from 1 species
UACAGAGGGUGCGAGCGUUAAUCGGAAUUACUGGGCGUAAAGCGUGCGUAGACGGUCAAGUAAGUCGGGUGUGAAAGCCCCGGGCUCAACCUGGGAAUUGCAUUCGAGACUGCGUGGCUAGGGUGCGGAAGAGGGAAGCGGAAUUUCCGGUGUAGCGGUGAAAUGCGUAGAUAUCGGAAGGAACACCAGUGGCGAAAGCGGCUCCUGGUCCAGCACCGACGUUCAGG